UACGUAGGUGGCAAACGUUGUCCGGAUUUACUGGGUGUAAAGGGCGUGUAGCCGGGCCGGCAAGUCAGAUGUGAAAUCCCAAGGCUCAACCUUGGAACUGCAUUUGAAACUGUUGGUCUUGAGUAUCGGAGCGGCAGGCGGAAUUCCUAGUGUAGCGGUGGAAUGCGUAGAUAUUAGGAGGAACACCAGUGGCGAAGGCGGCCUGCUGGACGACAACUGACGGUGAGGCGCGAAAGCGUGGGGAGCAAACAGG
rnacentral:rRNA from 1 species